rfam:Kangiella geojedonensis strain YCS-5, complete genome.
UGAACUGGCUGAAUUAGUGAUUGGCUGGUUCGUACGUAAACACUGAGUGGACUCACUCAAAAUUGGAGAUACAAACUAUGUCACUAAGUGCAGAAAAGAAAGCAGAAAUCGUACAAGAACAUGGUCGCGGUGAA